UCCUCGUUUAAACGAGGCAGUCCAUCCAGAGUGCUUCCAAUUAAGGAGUGGCAACUGGACGCAAGGGUUGCGCUCGUUGCGGGACUUAACCCAACAUCUCACGACACGAGCUGACGACAGCCAUGCAGCACCUGUGUAUCCUGGUAUUGCUACCUCGUCAGGCUUUCACCCUUCUACUAGAUACAUGUCAAGGCCAGGUAAGGUUCUUCGCGUUGCAUCGAAUUAAGCCACAUACUCCACCGCUUGUGCAGGCCCCCGUCAAUUUCUUUGAGUUUUAAUCUUGCGACCGUACUUCCCAGGCGGCACGUUUAACGCGUUAGCUUCGCCACAAAAGGGGUCGAUUCCUUUUACAGCAAACGUGCACCGUUUACGGCUAGGACUAC
rnacentral:misc_RNA from 1 species